AUUGAACGCUGGCGGCAGGCCUAACACAUGCAAGUCGAGCGAGCGGCGGCCGGGUGAGUAAUGUAUGGGGACUGCCCGAUAGCGGGGGAUAACUACUGGAAACGGUGGCUAAUACCGCAUACUAUCGGAUACCCCCUGUUGGAUUGGCUAGUAGGUAAGGUAAUGGCUUACCUAGGCGACGAUCCCUAGCGGGUCUGAGAGGAUGAUCAGCCACACUGGGACUGAGACACGGCCCAGAAUCCUACGGAGGCAGCAGUGGGGAAUAUUGCACAAUGGGCGCAAGCCUGAUGCAGCCAUGCCGCGUGUAUUAAGAGGGCUCUAGGGUUGUAAAGUACUUUCGGUCGGGAGGCGUUACCGACAGAAGAAGCACCGGCUAACUCCGUGCCAGCAGCCGCGGUAAUAC
rnacentral:rRNA from 1 species